rnacentral:rRNA from 1 species
GUGUCAGCAGCCGCGGUAAUACGGAGGGUGCAAGCGUUGUUCGGAAUCACUGGGCGUAAAGGGCGCGUAGGCGGUCCCAAAAGUCUGAUGUGAAAGCCCGGGGCUCAACCCCGGAAGUGCAUUGGAAACUGUGGGACUUGAGUUCGGGAGAGGAAGGCAGAAUUCCCGGUGUAGGGUUGAAAUCCGUAGAUAUCGGGAGGAAAACCGGUGGCGAAGGCGGCCUUCUGGAACGAAACUGACGCUGAGGCGCGAAAGCGUGGGGAGCAAACAGGAUUAGAUACCCCCGUAGUCC